rnacentral:rRNA from 1 species
UUUACUGAGGGAUAGCCUUUAGAAAUGAAGAUUAAUACCUCAUAGUAUUGCGAUUUGGCAUCAGAUUGUAAUUAAAGAUUUAUUGGUAAAAGAUGGCUAUGCGUCUUAUUAGCUAGAUGGUAAGGUAACGGCUUACCAUGGCAACGAUAAGUAGGGGCCCUGAGAGGGGGAUCCCCCACACUGGUACUGAGACACGGACCAGACUCCUACGGGAGGCAGCAGUGAGGAAUAUUGGGCAAUGGAGGCAACUCUGACCCAGCCAUGCCGCGUGCAGGAAGACUGCCCUAUGGGUUGUAAACUGCUUUUAUACAGGAAGAAACACACCUACGUGUAGGUGCUUGACGGUACUGUAAGAAUAAGCAC